UAAAAUAUUUAAUAUUUGUCUCUUGCAGGGCCCUAUACUAGCUAGUGCCAUGGAGGAGAUAAAGAGCCAUACUGCCUUCUACCCUGCAGAAGCAGACACACGCGCAGAGCGGAAAUAAAUUGGCUGUUGAGGAGCAAGCAGAAAGCAGCCCCUGCCAACAGGGUGUGAAGGACAGGCACUUUCAGAGAUCUGGCCCAGGCCAGAGGGCCUUCAUUCACCUUGAGUGACCCAGCCCUAAACACCAGCUGAUUCCCCAAUGGGUUGAUGUAACGAAGUGUGUGCACAGAGCUCUCAGCCCGCCUCUCUCCACGUCAGGAAAGGGCUGGCCUCUCGCGGGCUGCUCUGGCUGGGCCAGUGGUCCCAGGACUUGCUGAGUGGCCAGAGGAGAGAACCAACCUUUAGACCACUUCACAAUGGACAUUCCACUUGGCUAGACCACAACCCACUGGCUAAGACCAUUAUCUCUCCCAUCGGACUGCCCAGAAUCUGGACCUGCACAGAGAAUUCUCCGCCCAGAAAAAGCCCGCCAAAAGCCCUUUAAAAACUUCUGACUCCUGUCACUGGGGGCUGGAGCCAUCCAGGCUCAGCCACCUGGUCUGGGGAUGAUUGAAUAAUAAAUUCGUAAUCCCUCACCAUUCUGGCUUCGUGCAUUCCUCCUUUGGUGGCCUAACAGCACUGACUGGGUAAAGAAUGCAAAACUGAGUUUUGGGGCCCUACCAUUUUCACUUAUCAAUGCCAUGACUGCCCUUGUAAUGGAAGCAGAAAUUCCUAAAUCGCUACAUUGGAAGCUUCAUGAGGGUGGGGUCGCUGUUCCUCACUAAGGCAGCCGAGUGACUGCUAAACUGAGUGAAUCUCAGAGCCUUCCUAAUGAUCCCACCCCGAUCUGGGUUAGGGCCAUACUUACUACCUAGCCCAGAGCCUGGCACAUAGUAAGUGCUCAAUAAAUGAAUGGAUGAAUGGACUGUCCCUCAGCAUAAUGGUAACUAACCUUUUCAUACUUUACAAUUGGUGCUCAGAUCACCUUA